UAUGGUUGUGCCAGCCGCCGCGGUAAUACGUAGGUGGCAAGCGUUGUCCGGAAUUACUGGGUGUAAAGGGAGCGCAGGCGGGUGAUCAAGUCAGCUGUGAAAACUACGGGCUUAACCCGUAGACUGCAGUUGAAACUGUUCAUCUUGAGUGAAGUAGAGGUUGGCGGAAUUCCGAGUGUAGCGGUGAAAUGCGUAGAUAUUCGGAGGAACACCGGUGGCGAAGGCGGCCAACUGGGCUUUAACUGACGCUGAGGCUCGAAAGUGUGGGGAGCAAACAGG
rnacentral:rRNA from 1 species